rnacentral:rRNA from 1 species
CCUACGGGAGGCAGCAGUGGGGAAUAUUGCGCAAUGGGCGAAAGCCUGACGCAGCGACGCCGCGUGAGGGAUGAAGGUCUUCGGAUCGUAAAACUCUGUCAGCAGGGAAGAACGGUCACUGUGCUAAUCAGCAGUGAAUUUACGGUACCUGCAAAGGAAGCACCGGCUAACUCCGUGCCAGCAGCCGCGGUAAUACGUAGGGUGCGAGCGUUAAUGGGAAUUACUGGGCGUAAAGCGCUCGUAGGCGGUAUGUCAAGUCAAGGGUGAAAUCCCCGCGCUCAACGUGGGAACUGCCUUUGAAACUGGCAAACUGGAGUGUGUGAGAGGAUAGUGGAAUGCCAGGGGUAGGAGUGAA